UCGUAACCCACAGAUAUACUGGUAGCAAAUUCAACAACUUAGUCCGCAAGAUCUGCACCAGGCAUCAUAAAAUGAGCAGUACAUCGCACAGCCCCGCUGAUGUCACCACACCCUACCCUGAAGUUCUGACCAAGCAUUUCCUAUCCAUCCCACGACACCCUAUGUGCUAGGGGAUUACAAAUAUAAUUAAGAAAAAACACGAAUAUCACAUAUCAGAAAGAAGAAACGCUACUGUAUUCCAAAUAAUACGCAACGAAAAACGACCUCUCUGCUAGGCUAACGCCGAGAGGUGUAGGGUAUACGAGAUGUUGUUAGUCAUUCCCAUGACAGACAUGGUAACCUAUUACUUCGGAAUAACCCAACGGCACCUGAAGGAACGUAUACAGCAACACAACUAUGACAUAUGUAACAACAAGGAAAAUACUGCUCUAGCACAAUCGGUUUAUUUAAAGGACUGGUUGGUCGUAUGGGACAACGCAAAAAUCAUAGAUUCACUGCGUGCUGAUGAAUUGAGGUCCAACUUUUGGGAAAUUUGGAACAUUUACUUCCAUAGCAGGAAUAGUAACCUAAUCAACUCUAAGG
rnacentral:lncRNA from 1 species